CAACAAAAGAGACAGCUCUGGUGUGAAGAAAGCUGGUUAAUGAUGUAGGGCAUUCACGAAAGAUAUGGUCGAUCGUUUCAGCUCUUUCUCCACAUAGGGGGCAGCUUGUAUUGCUUACAAGCUUUCGAUGCUGCAUAUUAACCCAUAUCGAAAAAUAAUUCCAUGAGAUUCUCCAUAUUGUAAUCUUGAUUUUAUUUGGUAGAUUUAGGAGCCAUAGUUUUUUGUAGAAAUUUCUGUAGCCGGUUUGUAAAGGUAAGCUCUAGGGAUUUCAUCAAAAGUUAGUAAUAGUUUAUAGAAGUUGCGGACCGAAAACUCUCUUGAAUGCUCGCCUCCCCAGACCAGUAGAUCAUCAUGAGGUGCGCUUGCUAAAGGUAUUUAGAGGAUUUUUCCAGCAUCAUCCUCUAAAAAGCUCAAGAUCCUAAAGGAGAGGCAUCCAACAAGGGGAAAUCGAAGGUCAUCGAGUAGCUGACUUGGAAUUAUUUUACCCAACACAAGGUUUCUUGGACUCGACUUUUUGCGUAUUUGGGACCUUCAUCGAAGUCAUCACACCAACUUGCAACUUUUUGGUAUCUUCUUCUUAGUUGGUCUAAGAGAACAUUUCGGCAUGUAUAGGCUAUUAUGUUUUGUUUGAACUUUGGUAUGUAAAACUUUGGAUAGCCAUGCGAAAAUGGCUUAUAUACGUUUUUAGCAUAGUACUAUAAUCGUUUUGUAUGUUGAUCACUAAGAGGUAUGGAAAUGUUUGGAAACGGUUAGCCAUUGGAAUGGUUAAUCAUGAUUAUACUUUGUGCUAUGUAUGCAAAAAGGGCUAAUUGAAUCA